CUGAGUACUACACUCUCUACCCUUUGUGAACUAUUAUACCUGUUGCUUCGGCGGCGCCCGCGAGGGUGCCCGCCGGUCUCAUCAGAAUUCUCUGUUUUCGAACCCGACGAUACUUCUGAGUGCUCUUAGCGAACUGUCA
rnacentral:misc_RNA from 1 species